rnacentral:rRNA from 1 species
GAAAUUGUUGAAAGGGAAGCGCUUGCAACCAGACCUGCCUGCAGUUGCUCAUCCGUGGCUUUUGCCCGGUGCACUCUUCUGCUGUCAGGCCAGCAUCAGUUCGGGCGGUCGGAUAAAGGCUUCGGGAAUGUAGCUCCUCUCGGGGAGUGUUAUAGCCCGUUGCGAAAUGCGGCCAGCCUGGACUGAGGUCCGCGCUUCGGCUAGGAUGCUGGCGUAAUGGUUGUAAGCGGCCCGUCUUGAAACACGGACCAAGGAGUCUAACAUCUGUGCGAGUGUUUGGGUGUUAAACCCGUACGCGUAAUGAAAGUGAACGGAGGCGGGAACCCCUCGGGGUGCACCGUCGACCGAUCCUGAUGUCUUCGGAUGGAUUUGAGUAAGAGCAUAGCUGUUGGGACCCGAAAGAUGGUGAACUAUGCCUGAAUAGGGUGAAGCCAGAGGAAACUCUGGUGGAGGCUCGCAGCGGUUCUGACGUGCAAAUCGAUCGUCAAAUUUGGGCAUAGGGGCGAAAGACUAAUCGAACUAUCUAGUAGCUGGUUCCUGCCGAAGUUUCCCUCAGGAUAGCAGUAACGUUUUCAGUUUUAUGAGGUAAAGCGAAUGAUUAGAGGCCUGGGGGUUGAAACAACCUUCACCUAUUCUCAAACUUUAAAUAUGUAAGAAGUCCUUGUUGCUCAGUUGAACGUGGACAUUUGAAUGUAUCGUUACUAGUGGGCCAUUUUUGGUAAGCAGAACUGGCGAUGCGGGAUGAACCGAACGCGGAGUUAAGGUGCCGGAAUGCACGCUCAUCAGACACCACAAAAG